CCUGGCUGCCCGCUGUUCUCCCCGUCUCCCCCCCGUGCUCGGGGGCGGGGGCGGCCUUAGAGCCUACAGCCAAUACCUGCCUUCAACAACGCACUGGGACUUCGCGCCUUCCCAUGGCGCAGCCCUCUGGGCCCCACGGGCCCUUGGCCAUUUUCUCCCCACACCCCUCCAAGCCGGGACCUGGCGUUUGCCCUGGGAGCCGGGUGCCUGUGCGUGGCCUGGAUUGCAAGAGCUGGCCCUGUACGGAGAAGCCCAGCAAUCAGUAACGUUGCAGUAAGGUCACCAGUGGGCAGCACUGAAUUCCUGCUCCCUGUGGGGAAGCUGAACCUGUAUCUCCCUGCUAUGCACCCUACUGCUGUUGGCUUCCUUCAUCUCUGAGCUGGAUUUUCCCUUGCCAUUGCCCUGAAUUGUUGGUGUCUCAUCCUACGAACUUCCAGGAGUGAAACCUUCUGUCGCUGGCAAAGCCUAUGACUGUGCCCACCACUCAUUUCCAUUUCUCUAGGGCAGGACAACGAGCAUCUCUCCGUUCUUAAGCCACCCCUUCCUUCCGUUACAAGUUUGAUUCCCAAAAGUCUCCUGGCUACCAUUAAUCUUUUCAAACCAACGGUCACUUCUUAACCAUCUCCUUUUCUCUUACUCUUCACCACCUCUGAGAUGCAGAAAAACUGGCCACUGCCUCUGGCUACCACCAACCGGACCUCCUUUCCCCUCUCUGGCAUUCUUGCACGCACACCAGCCCAAUCCACCUUUUCCCUUCUUAGGUGACCACCACCACCAUCAGACUGACCCCCUGGCCCAUAAACCCCUACAUCCAUACCUUCCCAGGAGCCCCUGUCUCCCCCACCCUGGUUCCCACUGUUUACUGCUCUGUAAUAGCAAGCCUUGGGUCCAUCUGUCCUGCUUCCCAAUCCCAUCUUUCCCACUGCCAAGAGGAGCAGGAGCCUCAGCCGCCAUGGUUUGGGCAGGCAGAGGGUCCAGCCUGCAGAGCAGGACCUGGGUGCGGCACUGGCAGCACUCCCAGCCAUGUGACGUGUGGUAGUUAGAAGUUUGCAGCACAGCCAGUUGUGCUGCUGCAUGUGUGAGUAGCUUAUAGGUGAGGACAAAAAAAAAAAAACAACUGCAACCAGCAAGGCAGUAGAAAAACCAUCCAAGCCAGUUGGAAACUGGCUAGAUAGCAAGCCUGUUACUAAUAUAACACAUCAUUAUUUAUGGAAUAACAAUUGCCAACACUUCGAAAGAACCUUCUACCUGAAGAACUUGAAGUACACAAACAUCUGCAUUCAGAUUACAAAGAACAUCAUCAGCAUUACCAGAUCUUGUGAUAUUUCACAUAUUUUAAAGUCCUAGCUCCUGGAGGCAACUAAUUACGUGAAGAUCUCAGUUUCCUUUAAAAAAGUGGAUACCGGAGUCCUUCAAGUGGGAGAUGCAGGUCUUGAUCCUGCACGAUGAUAAGCACCUUCUGCAGAGUGCCGAGUGCCCUAACCUUCAACUGAAAUCAACAGGAGUUGAGCUGCUCUCAGUACUUCACUGGUAUGGACCCUCAAUUAGUUCUAACUGUGCCCUGUUUAACUUGACCCUUUGAACCGCUAACUCUUUUCCAAUAAAGCGGUUUUAUAAACAUCAAGGGAUUGAUUCUGAACUCGUUCAACUGAGAGAGUCAGGAGUAACUCCACUAAGUCACUGUAAUUAUCCUAAUGCAAAAAUGCUGAGAGAGCAGGAUCAGGGCCCCAUGUCUUUAUAUUGCUGCACUGUCCCUUUUUCUAACUUGGUUUGUUUUUUUAAGAGGAGAUAGAAUACAUUGCAACUCUCUUUCUGCUAGAAUAGCUCUGUAGUUCUAACAUCAGGAGAAACAUGGACUUUAGAUAAGCUUGGUAAAAAUGGCUUGGGAAACACAUGGGGAAAAGACAAGUUCAAUUUUAGCAGACUCGUUUCUUUCCCCAUAACCAUAUUUAUGAGGACCAUGUGGAGGCUAACUGGUUCCAAAAUGAGCCUGUUAUAGAAGCUCUCUUUAUUUUUAAAUUUCCUCUGGAUCCUGAAAGGUAUUUGCCCUACAGAACAAAGGCUGCUAUAUAGAAAAAAAUCUAAAUUUUCAGAUGAGUGAUUCACCAGCAAACCCAGGGAACUGGCUUUAUUUGUAGUCAUAUACAUUUCCCACUAUCUACUCUAGAUUAAAGAAAACCAGAAAGAAUACCAACUCUCAAAUCCCCCCACAGCCCUGUCCCAUGGGGACAUCUUACAAUGAGCAGGAUGCAUAAAACAGCAUCAUACUUAUAUACACCAGUUUCCAUUAUAAGCCCUCUUUUCACAAAUUUGUAGCAGCCACAACUUGGAAGCAGAUUAAGUGUGGAGAAGGUAGGAAAGAAGGAUGGGAACGGUUACUCCUCCCCACAUCCCUGUAUAAUUGCCAUUAGUACUAAUGAGAGUUCUACACUCAUAGGAAGUGUAGAACCUUUAUAGUUACUCCAAAUAAAUCUGGCUCCUUAUGUUAUAAGGAAAUGAAAAAGUGUAUUCGUUUCUGUUGCUUUUUUAUCUCAACAAUUAAGACUAACAGCUUUGUUCUUAAAAAUAACAUUCUUAUGCUAUUAGCUCAUAACAUAAAUAACUAAGUUGAAACAUCUCAAAUCAUUAACACCUGAAAAUCAUUUACCACUCUUUAGAGAAAACCCCAAACUAAAGCAAGGACUCCUCAGAAGACUUGGGUAAGUUUGUAUCUAGAUAGAACAUUGUGGCUUAGGUCCAUCUCUGCUGCUCAAGCACAUAAUUUUUCCCUUAUUUUUCUUUAGCUAUUGUGUUCUUAGACUGCAUGUGAUCCAUAUUCAGAACUUAAUUGAUUUUAGAUACAUGGGUACUGUGAGAGAAUGUAACCCUGUGAUCACACCUACACGCCACUGUGAUCAAUUUUGUACAAGGCAUGCCUUGUAAGGUAUCAUUUGAAAACUCACAAUUUGCUGGUCAGUAUAGUCCUGAUAAAAUAUGUGUGGGAGUUCCCUCUAUGAUGUUAUUAACACAUGUUCCACAGCCCUACCCAAACAGAGCUUGGCAAACAGGUCUGUCCUAAACAAAGGAAUGUGUGCUCUGCUUAAUUUGCAUUUAAGUAGUAAACAGAGUCAUCAAGCAGGAAGGGAAACAAAGGAAGCUCAAUCAGGUGAGAAAAAGCCAGCAGGAAACAUCCCUCCACAUAGAUUCUGUCUCCUAGUGCUCAGCUGGAAAUGUUUUUCAAGAGACGGACUGAAACUAUAAAAAGGAGGGACAAAGACCCCAAGGCACCACUCUCUUUCCCUGCUCAUCACAUUCACUGUACCUGAAGGGACAAAGAAAGCAAUCGUUAGACUCUGGGGGGAGGGUUCCCAUCCCACAGUUUGGUCAGUAAGACUGUGGUAAGCAAUGUUUCUUCAAACGUUGCUUUAAUCUUAUAUAGGUAGUUAAAUUAGGUGUUAGUCGUAUCUUUAUUUUUCUUGUAACCAUUUCUGACUUUUAUACCUUAUUACUUGUACUCACUUAAAAUUUCUCUCUUUGUAGUUAAUAAACUUGUUUUAUUGGUUU